CCAGCCCCCGACCCAACAGC
rnacentral:miRNA from 1 species